CGCGCCUGGAGAGCGCCCAGCUCCCCGACGCCGGACCGCCCCGACCCGCUGCCCCGCGCCACCCGCAGCCCUGCCCUCCGCCCCGGCCAGUCGGUCCUGUUGGCGAGCCCUCCCAUUGCAGGUUCGGUCUGUGUGUCCCUUUCACGAUCCCUGUCUGCCUGCCCUCCACACCUGUCUACCCCCUGUCCAUCCUUUUCCCACAUUCAUUCAACAAACUCUUGUGAAACAUCUUCUGGGCCCAAGGCAUGGACACCGUGGUGAGCAGGGCAGCCAAGCCCACGGCCCGAACGGAGCUUCCAGUCUAUGGGGGCAGUAAACAGCCAACCACGACUGUGAUGAGAGCUGAGUGGGAAGGUGAUGAUCCAGAAGACGAAGGAAAUCCUAGAGGAGGUACUUCACAGAGUCCUGGGAGGGUCUCAUCUUGCUGUCCAGGAUGAAGUGCAGUCGUGUGAUCAUGGCUAACUGCAGCCUCGACCUCCCUGGGGUCAGGCUAGAGUGCAGUGGUGUGAUCAUAGCUCGCUGCAAUCUCAAAGUCCUUGGCUUAAGGAAUCCUGGAAUCCUACCUCUGCCUCUCAGGUAGCUAGAUUC